UGGUUCCGGCAUCGAUGAAGAACGCAGCGAAAUGCGAUAAGUAGUGUGAAUUGCAGAAUUCAGUGAAUCAUCGAAUCUUUGAACGCACAUUGCGCCCUUUGGUAGCCCAAAGGGCACAUCUGUUCGAGUGUCAUUUAACUCUUCAAGCCUGGCUUGGUGUUGGGUGCUUGCCUGUGGGCUCACCUUAAAAGAAUAAGUGCUUGAGUAGUUGCAAGUAGCGGAGUAGAAUCUGCUGUUUUUGUGGCUACCGAGAGCACUGUAAACGCAUAUACCAUUUUUUGACCUCGGAUCAGAUGGGGAUACCCGCUGA
rnacentral:misc_RNA from 1 species